CAGAACUCCAGAUAAACUGGGCCAGAAAAGAAAUUCCUCCUGUCACAUAAUAAUCAAACACCAAAGAAUAUUAAAAGCAGUAAGGGAAAAAGGUCAGGUAACAUAUAAAGGCAGACCUAUCAGAAUUACACCAGACUUCUCACCAGAGACUAUGAAAGCUAGAAAAUCCUGGGCAGAUGUCAUACAGACUUUAAGAGAACACAAAUGCCAGCCAUUUACUAUACCCAGCAAAUCUCUCAAUUACCAUAGAGGGAGAAAACAAGAUAUUCCACGAUCAAACCAAAUUUACACAAUAUCUUUCUACAAAUCCAGCCCUACAAAGGGUAAUAGAUGGAAAACACCAGCACAAGGAGGGAAACUACACCCUAGAAAAAGCAAGACAGUAAUCUUUCAACAAACCCAAAAGAUGAUAGCCACAAAAACAUAAUUUCAUCUUUAACAACAAAAAUAAUAGAAAAUAACAAUCACUUUUCCUUAAUAUCUCUUAACAUCAAUGCACUCAGUUCCCCCAAAAAGGCAUAGACUAACUGACUGGAUAUGUAAAUAGGACCCAGCAUUCUGCUAUAUACAGGAAAUGCACCUCAUUGACAAAGGCAGACACUACCUCAGAGUAAAAGGUUAGAAAACAAUUUUCCAAGCAAAUGGUCCCAAGAAACAAGCUAGAGUAGCCAUUCUAAUAUCAAAUAAAAUCAAUUCUCAACCAAAAGUUAUCAAAAAAAGAUAAGGAAGGACACUUCAUAUUGGUCAAAGGAAAAACCUACCAAGAUGAACUCUCAAUUCUGAAUAUCUAUGCUCCAAAUGUAAGGGCACCGACAUUUGCACCCCACACAAUAAUAGUGGGAGACUUCAACACCCUACUCUGAACAAAGGACAGAUCAUAGAAACAGAAACUAAACAGAGACGUAGUGAAACUAACACAAGUUAUGAACCAUUUGAAUCUAACAGAUAUUUAUAGAACAUUUCAUCCUAAAGCAAAAGAAUAUACCUUCUUCUCAGCACCUCACAGUACCUUCUCCAAAACUGACCAUAUAAUUGGUCACAAAACAGGCUUCAACAGAUACAAGAAGACUGAAAUAACCCCAUGCACCCUAUCAGAUCACCAUGGAUGAAGGCUGGCCUUAAAUACCAACGAAAACAACAGAAAGCACACACACAUGGAAGCUAAACAAUGCUCUACUCAAUGAUAACUUGGCCAAGGAAGAAAUAAAGAAAGAAAUUAAAGCCUUUUAGAAUUUAAUGAAAAUGAAGACACAUCAUAUCAAAACUCAUGGGACACAAUGAAAGCAUUCCUAAGAGGAAAACUCAUAGCUCUAAGUGCCUCCAAAAAGAAACCGGAGAGAGCAUACACUAGCAGCACACCCGAAAGCUCUAGAACAAAAAGAAGCAAAUACAUCCAAGAGGAAUAGAUGGCAGGAAAUAAUCAAACCAUAGAAACAAAAAGAACUAUAGAGAGAACCAACAAAACCAGGAGCUGGUUCUUUGAGAAAAUCAAUAAGAUAAAUAAACCCUUAGCCAGACUAUUUAUUUAUUUUUAUUUACGUCCUAAAUCCCUUUCCUGGUCCCUCUUCACAGAAGGUCCUUCUCCUUCUCCUCUCCCCUUCCCCUUUGAGAGGGCAGCCCACCCCCUGGAACCUCCCUACCCCCAUCCUGGUACAUCAAGUCUCUGCAGGAUUAGGCACAUCCUCUCCCACUGAGGCCAGUCAAGGCAGCCCUCUGCUACAUAUGUGCUGAGUGCUCUUUGGUUGGUGGCUCAGUCUCUGGGAGUUCCCAGGGGUCCAGGUUAGUUGACACUGUUGGGGUUGCCAUCUCCUUGGGGGCCUUCAAUCCUUCCCCCAAGUCUUCCAUAGGGGUCCAUGACCUUUGCCCAGUGUUUUUCUGUGAGUAUCUGCAUCUGUCUCAGUCUGCUGCCAGGUAGAGUCUGAGAAGGCUGCUAUACUAGGCUCCUGUCUGCAAGCACAACAUAGGAUCAUUAAUAGUAUGGAGAAUCAGUGCCUGCCCAUGGGAUGGGACUAUCAUUGGUCUGCCAUUCCUUCAGUCUCUGCUCCAUUUUUGUCCCUGCAUUUUUUUUGUUUGUUUGUUUAGACAGGACCAAUUUUGGGUCUACAGAUUUGUAGGUGGAUUUGUCCCCAUCCCUCCACUUGGGGUUCUGUCUGUCUCCUGGCGGUGGUCUCUCCAGGUUCUGUAUUCCCACCGUUAGGUAUUUUAGCUAAAGUCACCUUCAUUGACUCCCGGGAGUCUCCCUCAUCCAGGGUCCCUGGGACUUUCUAGAGAAUCCCCCUACUACCCCACUGAAUAUUUUCAUUCAUUCUCCUGACCCUCUGGGCCUCUCUCCUAUCUCUCCCCAUGCCUGAUCCUGCUCUCCCCCUAUCCCCCAGUACUCUCCUCUCCCACCCAGGUCUCUUUUGUGCCUCUUAUGACUAUUUUGUUCCUCUAAGUGGGAUUCAUGCCUCCUCACUUGGGCCUUCCUUCUUGUUUAGCUUCUUUGGGUCUGUGUAGUGUAUCAUGGGUAUUCUGAACUUUUUGGCUAAUAUGCACUUACCAGUGAGUAUAUACUUUGCAUAUCCUUCUGGGUCUGGGUUCUCUCACUCAGGAUAAUAUUUUCUAGUUCCAUCCAUUUGCCUGAGAAAUUCAUGAAUGAUGUCCUUGUUUUUUUAAUAGCUUAAUAGUAUUCCAUUGU
rnacentral:lncRNA from 1 species